rnacentral:rRNA from 1 species
GACGAACGCUGGCGGCGUGCUUAACACAUGCAAGUCGAACGGAAAGGCCCUGCUUUUGUGGGGUGCUCGAGUGGCGAACGGGUGAGUAACACGUGAGUAACCUGCCCUUGACUUUGGGAUAACUUCAGGAAACUGGGGCUAAUACCGGAUAGGAGCUCCUGCUGCAUGGUGGGGGUUGGAAAGUUUCGGCGGUUGGGGAUGGACUCGCGGCUUAUCAGCUUGUUGGUGGGGUAGUGGCUUACCAAGGCUUUGACGGGUAGCCGGCCUGAGAGGGUGACCGGCCACAUUGGGACUGAGAUACGGCCCAGACUCCUACGGGAGGCAGCAGUGGGGAAUAUUGCACAAUGGGCGGAAGCCUGAUGCAGCAACGCCGCGUGCGGGAUGACGGCCUUAGGGUUGUAAACCGCUUUCGCCUGUGACGAAGCGUGAGUGACGGUAAUGGGUAAAGAAGCACCGGCUAAAUACGUG